AUGCAGGUAACUCUAAUUUCAAUCGUUAGGGUUUUGAUUGAUGAUUUGUUGUUUUUUUUCUUGCUUUUUAUAAUAGAUCUGGAUUCUGGAAACUGCUGCUUCAUGCUUACUACAAUUAGUAUUGACAUAGCCUUAACAUAAAUUGCUAUCAAAUAAGUGAAUGAUGUUAAAUUGUGGCGUAUACCAUACUAUUUCUUGGAAUCUAGCUUUUGAUUGGAUGGUUUGAACUUAAUUUGAUUGAUUUCUAAAUGAACAAACGAAGAUAUACCCGGAAAACAUUUUUUGCUGAUGCGAUUUAUAUAUUGGAUGAUAGAUAUUUGCCUGGUUCAGAUCAUUUGACUUUGGGAUUAAAGGAGCAUGAUGAUUUUGGGGAUUUAGGGUUCGACGGACGGUUUCAAGGUAAGUCAGUUCAAGGCUUGACAUUGGUGUUUGAUAUUGUGUAAUAAAUGUGAUUUUGAUUUGAUUAGUUAAAUCCAAAAUAAUCAAAUUAAGUGUGGAUAUUCAAGAUCAUUAUGGUUUGAGUGCACUACUGUUAUUCAAAGACUUGAAACAAGAAGACAUACUGGUAUUUGUAUA
rnacentral:lncRNA from 1 species